ensembl:misc_RNA Metazoa_SRP Metazoan signal recognition particle RNA
UGCCGACUGGGUGUCUGCACUAAGUUUGGCAUCAAUAUGGUGACCUCCUGGAAGCGGGGGGCCACCAGCUUGCCUAACGAUGGGUGAACUGGCCCAGGUCAGAAAGGGAGCAAGUCAGGACUCCUGCACCUGUCGGUAGUGGGACUGUGCCUGGGCA